GUGGGGAAUAUUGGGCAAUGGGGGAAACCCUGACCCAGCGACGCCGCGUGAGGGAAGAAGGCCUUAGGGUUGUAAAGCUCUUUCAGCUGGGAAGAUAAUGACGGUACCAGCAGAAGAAGCCCCGGCUAACUCCGUGCCAGCAGCCGCGGUAAUACGGAGGGGGCUAGCGUUGUUCGGAAUUACUGGGCGUAAAGCGCGCGUAGGCGGACCAGAAAGUUGGAGGUGAAAUCCCAGGGCUCAACCUUGGAACUGCCUUCAAAACUCCUGGUCUGGAGUUCGAGAGAGGUGAGUGGAAUUCCGAGUGUAGAGGUGAAAUUCGUAGAUAUUCGGAGGAACACCAGUGGCGAAGGCGGCUCACUGGCUCGAUACUGACGCUGAGGUGCGAAAGCGUGGGGAGCAAACAGGAUUAGAAACCCCAGUAGUCC
rnacentral:rRNA from 1 species